CGAGGGCGGGCUCCGAGGAAGGAGGACGAAGGAGAAGAUGGCGGCCGGCUCGCCUCAGGCCUGGUCUGUGUUCGUGAGGCGGGAAGGAAGGAAGGCGGCGGAGGGAAGAGGACGGAGAGGCCGAGAGAGAGAGAGAGGACGUGAGAGUUCUCUGGAGCCACCCCUGCCGUGAUGGGAAACGAACCAGCUUCUAGUCGAUAUUAAGGCAUUUGGAAACCAAAGUGCAGGAAGGAAACCAGUCCUCUAGGAAAAAGGAUUCCUCUCAAGGGGCUGAUCCUGCUGAAUUCCUACAUUCACUUUGGAUUCUAGAGUAGAACCAUAGAAGAGACUUCAUGAAGCACCCAGUCCAGGCCUCUGCCGUGCAGGAAAAGCCAAAGUACCCCUGACAGAUGAGCAUCUAGCUUCUGUUUAAAGGAUUCCAAAGACCACCUAUGAAUAUUCCUUGCCUAGAAAACCCUAUGAAAUUCAUGGAGUCACCAUUGAUUAGUAACUUAAAAGCACAUACAUACAA